GGCCGUGUGGCGAAAUGGCAUCGCGUCUGACUACGAUCGUAUGGACCACCAGGUGUACUUCGGAAUCAGGAGAUUGCAGGUUCGACCCCUGUCUCGGUCA